rnacentral:rRNA from 1 species
GACACGGCCCAGACUCCUGCGGGAGGCAGCAGUGGGGAAUAUUGCGCAAUGGGCGAAAGCCUGACGCAGCGACGCCGCGUGGGGGAUGACGGCCUUCGGGUUGUAAACCUCUUUUACCACCAACGCAGGCUCGGAGUUUUCUUCGGGUUGACGGUAGGUGGGGAAUAAGGACCGGCUAACUACGUGCCAGCAGCCGCGGUAAUACGUAGGGUCCGAGCGUUGUCCGGAAUUAUUGGGCGUAAAGAGCUCGUAGGCGGCGUGUCGCGUCUGCUGUGAAAGACCGGGGCUUAACUCCGGUUCUGCAGUGGAUACGGGCAUGCUAGAGGUAGGUAGGGGAGACUGGAAUUCCUGGUGUAGCGGUGAAAUGCGCAGAUAUCAGGAGGAACACCGGUGGCGAAGGCGGGUCUCUGGGCCUUACCUGACGCUGAGGAGCGAAAGCAUGGGGAGCGAACAGGAUUAGAUACCCUGGUAGUCCAUGCCGUAAACGUUGGGCGCUAGGUGUGGGGACUUUCCACGGUUUCCGCGCCGUAGCUAACGCAUUAAGCGCCCCGCCUGGGGAGUACGGCCGCAAGGCUAAAACUCAAAGGAAUUGACGGGGGCCCGCACAAGCGGCGGAGCAUGUUGCUUAAUUCGACGCAACGCGAAGAACCUUACCAAGGUUUGACAUCACCCGUGGACUCGCAGAGAUGUGAGGUCAUUUAGUUGGCGGGUGACAGGUGGUGCAUGGCUGUCGUCAGCUCGUGUCGUGAGAUGUUGGGUUAAGUCCCGCAACGAGCGCAACCCUUGUUCCAUGUUGCCAGCACGUAAUGGUGGGGACUCAUGGGAGACUGCCGGGGUCAACUCGGAGGAAGGUGGGGAUGACGUCAAGUCAUCAUGCCCCUUAUGUCUUGGGCUGCAAACAUGCUACAAUGGCCGGUACAAUGGGCGUGCGAUACCGUAAGGUGGAGCGAAUCCCUAAAAGCCGGUCUCAGUUCGGAUUGGGGUCUGCAACUCGACCCCAUGAAGGUGGAGUCGCUAGUAAUCGCGGAUCAGCAACGCCGCGGUGAAUAC